UACGGGAGGCAGCAGUGGGGAAUAUUGCACAAUGGGCGAAAGCCUGAUGCAGCUAUGCCGCGUGUAUGAAGAAGGCCUUAGGGUUGUAAAGUACUUUCAUCGGGGAGGAAAAAACAAAACUAAUAAUUUUAUUUCUUGACGUUACCCGAAAAAGAAGCACCGGCUAACUCCGUGCCAGCAGCCGCGGUAAUACGGAGAGGGCUAGCGUUAUUCGGAAUUAUUGGGCGUAAAGAGCGCGUAGGCUGAUUAGUAAGUUAAAAGUGAAAUCCCAAAGCUUAACUUUGGAAUUGCUUUUUAAAACUGCUAGUCUAGAGAUUGAAAGAGGAUAGAGGAAUUCCUAGUGUAGAGGUGAAAUUCGUAAAUAUUAGGAGGAACACCAGUGGCGAAGGCGUCUAUCUGGUUCAAAUCUGACGCUGAGGGCGCGAAGGCGUGGGGAGCAAACAGGGAUUAGAUACC
rnacentral:rRNA from 1 species